UACGGAGGGGGCAAGCGUUAUUCGGAAUCAUUGGGCGUAAAGGGCGUGUAGGCGGCUUCGUGUGUCUUAUGUGAAAGCCCUCGGCUCAACCGGGGAACUGCAUGGGAAACUGCGGAGCUUGAGUCCGGGAGAGGAGAGUGGAAUUCCCAGUGUAGCGGUGAAAUGCGUAGAUAUUGGGAGGAACACCAGUGGCGAAGGCGGCUCUCUGGACCGGUACUGACGCUGAAACGCGAAAGCCAGGGGAGCAAACGGG
rnacentral:rRNA from 1 species